rnacentral:rRNA from 1 species
AGUUGCGAUCAUACGAGCACUAAUGCACUAGAUUCCAUAGGAACUCCGACGUUAAGUGUGUUUGGCCGAGAAUAGUACUAGGAUGGGCUUUGUCAUAGGACUUCCACAAGUACACGCAAGAC